AAUCAACGCUGGCGGCGUGCCUAACACAUGCAAGUCGAGCGGGAAAGGGGGCUUCGGUCCCUGAGUAUAGCGGCGGACGGGUGAGUAACACGUGGGUAAUUUGCCCUUGGGUGUGGAAUAACUCAGGGAAACUUGAGCUAAUACCGCAUGACAUCCCCUUCUCACAGGAGUUGGGAUCAAAGCCGGGGACCCUUCGGGGCCUGGCGCCUGAGGAGAAGCCCGCGCCCGAUUAGCUAGNGGUGAGGUAAUGGCUCACCAAGGCUUCGAUCGGUAGCCGGCCUGAGAGGGCGGACGGCCACACUGGGACUGAGACACGGCCCAGACUCCUACGGGAGGCAGCAGUGGGGAAUUUUUGUCAAGUGGGGGAAACCCUGAACAAGCAACGCCGCGUGGAGGA
rnacentral:rRNA from 1 species